GUACGGUGUUCCUACUAUAAUGACAGUAAGCUUGCCAAGAUUGACAGCCAAAGAGAAAAGAUCUGGAUUGGUUCUAUGUUAGAAUAUGACAGCUGGAUUGGCAUGUUACACGAAGGAACUGUGUGGACAUGGAGUGGUGGUCGUGAAGAUAUUGAUCCAACACAUUUCCCCUGGCUAUGGGAUUUUCCUGCAACAGCAGUUGGAUGUGUUCAGAUGAUGAGAGGAGGAAGACUUCAACCACUACCGUGCACUGACAAAUAUUCCUAUGUCUGUGAAAA
rnacentral:lncRNA from 1 species